UCCAGGCAAGAAAAAUGUGCAGAUGCUGCGGC
rnacentral:piRNA from 1 species